rnacentral:rRNA from 1 species
GACGAACGCUGGCGGCGUGCUUAACACAUGCAAGUCGAACGGAAAGGCCCUGCUCUUGUGGCGUGCUCGAGUGGCGAACGGGUGAGUAACACGUGAGUAACCUGCCCUUGACUGUGGGAUAACUCCAGGAAACUGGGGCUAAUACCGGAUAGGAGCUCCUGCUGCAUGGUGGGGGUUGGAAAGUUUCGGCGGUUGGGGAUGGACUCGCGGCUUAUCAGCUUGUUGGUGGGGUAGUGGCUUACCAAGGCUUUGACGGGUAGCCGGCCUGAGAGGGUGACCGGCCACAUUGGGACUGAGAUACGGCCCAGACUCCUACGGGAGGCAGCAGUGGGGAAUAUUGCACAAUGGGCGGAAGCCUGAUGCAGCAACGCCGCGUGCGGGAUGACGGCCUUCGGGUUGUAAACCGCUUUCGCCUGUGACGAAGCGUGAGUGACGGUAAUGGGUAAAGAAGCACCGGCUAACUACGUG